GUUUUAGUAAAAUAACGUACCCUAAGUACCUUCUUGGUUCUUAACUAAAUUAUUUUGACAUGUCUACUUCAAGAUAAAUAGUCACAAUCCAAAAAAUUGCAGUUUGAAUGAUCAACAAACAGGUUUUGUUAUUGUAGCAUUCUAUCUGUUAUGUUUUAGCCAAGAAAGACUAUCAAAUCUAAAAAUAAUUUAUAAUUAUUAAGAAACCACUUGGAAUAUGUAACAUUUCAGAAGACUAAUGAAGGUGGGAGAUCAAUGAUAAAUGUUUCACGUGAAGUUCUCCAACAUGGUUUCACCUAAUUAGAGGUACUCUACCAUAAAGUAUCUGCUUGUUAGGUUAAAUGAGCAUGUUUCAGCAUGCCCAUUCAAUGGAAGUUGAUAAAUUACUCUUAAGAAUUCAAGGAAGAAGGAAAAAACUUCCCAACACUGAAAAGCUAUUGACAUCCAUUACCCAUUUCUUUCUGAAAACGGUUAUCCUUUUUUGAUUUUUGUUUGUCCCAAAGAUUUUAGUCUGUCAGGCAAAAUCAGUCUGCUAAAAGAAGUUAAUAAGAGAAUUUAUGAAUGCUAGUACAUGGAUAUAAAUUUUCCAUUUUUGUUCUUCAGAUUAGUUUGCCAAACUCUAGUUUAGAACGUCAUUUUAGAAAGAGACGAAAGAUUAUCAUCUUGCUCUUCCUUUAACAUUUAGUUAAACAUUUAGCUUUGAUAAUCACUUUAUUUUCAGAAAGAAUCACAAGGACAAUUGAUGCAAAUUCGAUUGACUUUUGAUACCAUUACUUCCUUCUGGGUUUGUUAAUGCUCUGUUUUUUAGCCUUUCAUUUUUGGUUAUCUAGUAGAUUGGUGAUUUUUCCAUCCUACUUGCAUAAGGACUUGCUCAUGAUAAAAUAUUUAUAGAAAUAUCUAUUUUAGCAUUUUAGACAAAUGUCUCAUGGGCUAUGUUGGCACAUGUACAAAGCAGUGAUUUCCAAGCAAAAAUGUUCCCUGGAUGGUGAUGUGGUAGACAAUUGUUCUCUUAAGGAGUGAAGAUCAAUCUUCUAGGAAGCAAUAGGUGACAGAGUAGAUGAAGAGGAAGCAGACAUCAUCUCGUUGGAAAAAGAACAACAUGGUUCCCUGUCGUUUUUGUGAGAAAUGUCAAAAGGAAGAAAUUACUGUCACUCGGCAGGCAAGUUUCGCAGAUGAAGAUGGUCAUCAAUUAUAGUUAUUUUGCUCAUUAAUUUGCACAAGCAUUGAUGGAGGCUUCUCAAACACCACGUAGAAAAACUGAAAGUGUUAUGUUCUGUAGUGCUCGGAAUGCAAAAAUGAAGAAGAAGGGAAGAUUUGAUGAUGGAAGCUAGAUGUUGAAGAUAGCAGUAACAGUCAUUGGGAAAGCAAAAGCAAAGCAUGUAGUGGGAUGGCAGAAAUUCAAAGAUUAUGUGCUGCAAGAAUAUGUAUUCACAUGCAAGGGUUUCUAAGUCCUCGUUCAAAGGUUCAAGGAAGCACUGCCGCUAGAUCAUGCAAUGCCUUUCUCAAUUGGACAAUGGACUAUACAUUUCCACCCAAAAAUAAGAGAGAUUCAUGAUGCGCUUGUGCUAACAGUUGAAUUUGUCAAGGAAGCAGCAGCUUUCGAGCUAAAGUGUAUGAAUGCAGUCUCGAUGGAUUAAAGGUUUCUUCUGAUCUGAUUUGCUUGAGACAAAGGAAAGCAUAUGAAGGAACCAUUUAGCUGGCAUGGCUGAGACCUGUAUCCAAUUUGGUUGAUCUUGGUUCCAGUUUAAGCUGUUUGGAUUGCUUUUUGUCAAUCUCAUGAAUAUGGAUCUCAUAUCAAUGGAAGCAUUGAAAGUAUGAAGAUGAGAAGGCAAGAAUACUGGUAGCUAGCUGUUGGAUUGUAGGCAUGUAAAAAAUCUAGCUGGCUAGAAUGCAUAUAUUACUCUAGCUUGGCCUACAGAGAGAUAAGAUUUGAGGUUUUAAUGUGAUCUAGAGCUUUUAGCUUUUGAAAUACUUAAUUGACCAUGCUUUGGGG